ensembl:lncRNA
UGUGCCCCCACUCCCCUCUCAGCCCAUUGGGUAACCAGCGUUCAUGUGCCCCCCACUCCCCUCUCAGCCCAUUGGGUAACCAGCGUUCAUGUGCCCCCCACUCCCCUCUCAGCCCGUUGGGUAACCAGCGUUCAUGUGCCCCCACUCCCCUCUCAGCCCAUUGGGUAACCAGCAUUCAUGUGCCCCCCACUCCCCUCUCAGCCCAUUGGGUAACCAGCGGUCAUGUGCCCCCCACUCCCCUCUCAGCCCAUUGGGUAACCAGCGUUCAUGUGCCCCCCACUCCCCUCUCAGCCCAUUGGGUAACCAGCGGUCAUGUGCCCCCCACUCCCCUCUCAGCCCGUUGGGUAACCAGCGUUCAUGUGCCCCCACUCCCCUCUCAGCCCAUUGGGUAACCAGCGUUCAUGUGCCCACCAGCGUUCAUGUGCCCCCCACUCCCCUCUCAGCCCAUUGGGUAACCAGCGUUCAUGUGCCCCCCACUCCCCUCUCAGCCCAUUGGGUAACCAGCGUUCAUGUGCCCCCCACUCCCCUCUCAGCCCAUUGGGUAACCAGCGUUCAUGUGCCUCCCCACUCCCCUCUCAGCCCAUUGGGUAACCAGCGUUCAUGUGCCCCCCACUCCCCUCUCAGCCCAUUGGGUAACCAGCGUUCAUGCGUUCAUGUUCCCCCCACUCCCCUCUCAGCCCAUUGGGUAACCAGCGUUCAUGUGCCCCCCCACUCCCCUCUCAGCCCAUUGGGUAACCAGCGGUCAUGUGCCCCCCCCACUCCCCUCUCAGCCCAUUGGGUAACCAGCGUUCAUGUGCCCCCACUCCCCUCUCAGCCCAUUGGGUAACCAGCGGUCAUGUGCCCCCCACUCCCCUCUCAGCCCAUUGGGUAACCAGCGGUCAUGUGCUCCCCCACUCCCCUCUCAGCCCAUUGGGUAACCAGCGCGUUCAUGUGCCCCCCCCCCCCUCUCAGCCCAUUGGGUAACCAGCGGUCAUGUGCCCCCCCCCCCUCUCAGCCCAUUGGGUAACCAGCGUUCAUGUGCUCCCCCUCCCCUCUCAGCCCAUUGGGUAACCAGCGUUCAUGUGCCCCCCCCACUCCCCUCUCAGCCCAUUGGGUAACCAGCGUUCAUGUGCCCCCUCCCCUCUCAGCCCAUUGGGUAACCAGCGUUCAUGUGCCUCCCCCACUCCCCUCUC